CCCUUAGAUGUCCUGGGCCGCACGCGUGCUACACUGACGCAUACAGCUAGUACUCCCGGCUCCGCAAUGGCAGCUGGUAAUCAUCAAUAUGCGUCGUGAUGGGGAUAGAUCUCUGGAAUUUUUGAUCUUGAACGAGGAAUGCCUAGUAAGCGCAGGUCAUCAGCCUGCGUUGAUUAAGUCCCUGCCCUUUGUACACACCGCCCGUCGCUCCUACCGAUUUCGAGUGGUCCGGUGAACCUUUCGGACCGGGAGCAGCCUCGUGCUGCGCCUGGAAAGUCAAGUAAACCACAUCACUUAGAGGAAGGAGAAGUCGUAACA
rnacentral:rRNA from 1 species